GAUGAACGCUGGCGGCGUGCCUAAUACAUGCAAGUCGAGCGAACAGACGAGGAGCUUGCUCCUCUGACGUUAGAGGCGGACGGGUGAGUAACACGUGGAUAACCUACCUAUAAGACUGGGAUAACUUCGGGAAACCGGAGCUAAUACCGGAUAAUAUAUUGACCCGCAUGGUUCAAUAGUGAAAGACGGUUUUGCUGUCACUUAUAGAUGGCUCCGCGCCGCAUUAGCUAGUUGGUAAGGUAACGGCUUACCAAGGCGACGAUGCGUAGCCGACCUGAGAGGGUGAUCGGCCAGACUGGAACAGAGACACGGUCCAGACUCCUGCGGUGGGAAGCGGUAGAGAAUCUUCCGCGAUGGGCGAAAGCCUGACGGUGCAACGCCGCGGAAGUGAUGAAGGUCUUCUGAUCGUAAAGCUCUGUUAGUAGGGAAGAACAAAUGUGUAAGUAACUAUGCACGUCUUGACGGUACCUAAUCAGAAAGCCACGGCUAACUACGUG
rnacentral:rRNA from 1 species